CCUACGGGUGGCAGCAGUGGGGAAUAUUGGACAAUGGGCGAAAGCCUGAUCCAGCCAUGCCGCGUGUGUGAAGAAGGCCUUCGGGUUGUAAAGCACUUUCAGUGGGGAAGAAAGCCUUGGGGCUAAUACCCUCGAGGAAGGACAUCACCCACAGAAGAAGCACCGGCUAACUCCGUGCCAGCAGCCGCGGUAAUACGGAGGGUGCGAGCGUUAAUCGGAAUUACUGGGCGUAAAGCGCGCGUAGGCGGUCUGAUAAGCCGGUUGUGAAAGCCCCGGACUCAACCUGGGAACGGCAUCCGGAACUGUCAGGCUAGAGUGCAGGAGAGGAAGGUAGAAUUCCCGGUGUAGCGGUGAAAUGCGUAGAGAUCGGGAGGAAUACCAGUGGCGAAGGCGGCCUUCUGGACUGACACUGACGCUGAGGUGCGAAAGCGUGGGUAGCAAACAGGAUUAGAUACCCCGGUAGUC
rnacentral:rRNA from 1 species